GCGCGCGUAGCUCAGCUGGAUAGAGCACCGGUCUUCGGAACCGGGUGUCGGGGGUUCGAAUCCCUCCGCGCGUACCA
rnacentral:tRNA from 1 species